rnacentral:rRNA from 1 species
GGCGACCGGGUGAGUAACACGUGACUAACCUACCUCCGAGUGGGGAAUAACUCCGGGAAACCGGGGCUAAUACCGCAUAACAUCGCAAGAUCAAAGCAGCAAUGCGCUUGGAGAGGGGGUCGCGGCUGAUUAGCUAGUUGGCGGGGUAACGGCCCACCAAGGCGAAGAUCGGUAUCCGGCCUGAGAGGGCGCACGGACACACUGGAACUGAAACACGGUCCAGACUCCUACGGGAGGCAGCAGUGGGGAAUUUUGCGCAAUGGGGGAAACCCUGACGCAGCAACGCCGCGUGGAGGAUGAAGCCCUUUGGGGCGUAAACUCCUUUCGACCAAGACGAUAAUGACGGUACUGGUGGAAGAAGCACCGGCUAACUCUGUGCCAGCAGCCGCGG